rnacentral:rRNA from 1 species
UCGAGGAUAUUUAGCAAUGGGCGAAAGCCUGACUAUGUGACGCCGCGUGAGGGAUGAAGGUCUUCGGAUCGUAAACCUCUUUCGAUGGGAAAGAAACUUCCGAUUAACUGUCGGAACUGACGGUACCCAGAGAAGAAGCCACGGCCAACUCUGUGCCAGCAGCCGCGGUAAUACAGAGGUGGCGAGCGUUACUCGGAUUUAUUGGGUGUAAAGGGCAGGUAGGCGUCCCGCCAAGUUUUAGGUGAAAUCCUUUCGCUUAACGAAAGAACUGCCUAAAAAACUGGCGGGAUUGAGGCCAAAAGAGGAGAGCGGAAUUCCCGGUGUAAGGGUGAAAUCUGUAGAUAUCGGGAGGAACACCAGUGGCGAAGGCGGCUCUCUGGUUUGGCCCUGACGCUAAGCUGCGAAAGCUUGGGGAGCAAACAGG